rnacentral:lncRNA from 1 species
GCUGUGUCCAUGUGCUCAGCUCAUAGCCACCAUGCAUGACUUGGGACUUCUGAAUGGGACCAAGAAAUAUCUAACAUGCGAUUUCCUGGAAAGCACAUAGGAGUUUGGCCCAGAUCCAGACUUGGCAGGUAACUUGCUGUGUGACUGUGGACAAAUGACUGAACCUUUCUGGGCAUCAAUUCCCUCAAACAUAGAGGGAAGGUGGGCAGGGAUGGGACACCCACCCCUGAAGCCUCAAUCAUGAGAAGCAUCCCAGAAUGAGACGUAUUCAGUUGCUCAAUCAAGAAGAAGCUGCCAGGCACAGUGGCUUGUGCCUGUAACCCCAGAACUUUGAGAGGCUGAGCGGGGUGGAUCACCCAAAGUCAGGAGUUCAAGACCAGCCUGGCCAACAUGGUGAAAUGCCGUCUCUACUAAAAAUACAAAAAUUCGCUGGGUGUGGUGGUGGGUGCUUGUAAUCCUAGCUACUCAGGAGGCUGAGACAGGAGAAUCCCUUGAACCCAGAGGCAGAGGUUACAGUGAGCCGAGAUCGUGCCACUGCCCUCCAGCCUGGGCAACAAAGAGUGAAACUCUUGUCUAAAAAAAAAAAGAAGAAGAAGAAGGAGAAGGAGAAGGAGCGGGAGAAGGAGAAGAAGAAGAAGAAGAAGAAGCCUCAGUGAAGUGCUCCAGCAUCUUCACCCCCUUGGUCACUUGCUCAUCUCCUUGAUGAACAAAAGCGGCCCCAGAUCAGAGCCAUCGAGCACCUGCAGCCAGCAAGGUUGGCUGGUUUUCAUUGUGUGCAUUUUUAAGGCGUCUUCUAUUUAUAGAAAGGAUUGUGGUCUUGCAUUUGUAGCAGCGAUGAAAGCUUUACUUUUUGGCAAAAUGUGUGCAAGUUGUUUAGAAGUGAGUCUGUUUGAAAAAAAAAAUUAAAUGAA